UACGGAGGGAGCUAGCGUUGUUCGGAAUUACUGGGCGUAAAGCGCACGUAGGCGGCUACUCAAGUCGGGGGUGAAAGCCCGGGGCUCAACCCCGGAACUGCCCUCGAAACUAGGUAGCUAGAAUCUUGGAGAGGUCAGUGGAAUUCCGAGUGUAGAGGGUGAAAAUUCGUAGAUAUUCGGAAGAACACCAGUGGCGAAGGCGACUGACUGGACAAGUAUUGACGCUGAGGGUGCGAAAGCGUGGGGAGCAAAACAGG
rnacentral:rRNA from 1 species